rnacentral:tRNA from 1 species
AAAUAAGAAGUAAAAAUUUACAUUUAGUUUCGACCUAAAAAUUUGGUGAUUUAAACACCCUUAUUUA